rnacentral:tRNA from 1 species
UCCAAUGUAAACGGCUGUUUUUCCCGCCCUCGUAAUGCGUAGGUCAGCGGUUCGAGUCCGCUCAUUGGCUCCA